UAGAAGGAAGCUCGCUGGAUAGAGUCUUUAGCUGUUAACUAAAGUCUUGCGGGAUCAAGGCCCGCCCUUCUAG
rnacentral:tRNA from 1 species